rnacentral:tRNA from 1 species
UAGGACAUAGUGUAUGGGUAGCACGGAGAGUUUUGAGUUCUUUAGGUCAGGUUCAAUUCCUGUUGUUCUAG